AACAAACACAGUCACGUGGUUUUAAAAAUGGCUAGUCAGAGUGAUUUUCAGUUUAUUUGCCAGUAAAAUCCCUAAAGAAUGAGAAAUAAAAGUUUAAAUUAUUUAUUUGGCAGAGAAAAGCAAUAAGGUAGGUGUUCUCUGUGUAUAUUUUUUGAGUUUGUUUAAGGCUAAUGGCCUAUAGUAUGGAAGAACAAACAAGUGAUUAUUGUGAACAACCAUCACGAUUUAUUCAGGUUUAAUAGCUCUCAGGCACAUAUAAGGCUAGUCUGCUUGAAAACUCACAGUAAAAUUGUUCCAUAUCAAGUCUGCUGUUUAUGGGAAUUAUUGUUGGUCAUAAGGUGUAAAGUAAUUUGUAGAAACUGUUAUUCAAAUAUUGAUUUAUCACCCCAUGAAAUGUCAAGAAGGCCAACAAAACCAUGAACAUUUGCAUAGUAUAAAUGAUUAUUAUAUCUGCAUAACUUGCUGCUCUUUAUUCCAUGCUUUAUUGCAUCUUCAAGAUUUAGACUGCUAGAAUAUAUACACACAAGAAUAUGUAAUAGGAUAUACAAAUAAGAUUCUGCAUGAAUAGAUUGGGUCUAAACUUGUAUUAAUUCCGUCAAUUACAAGGAAAGAUGUUUGGCUGACAGAGAUCAGCCUGGUUUUGAGAUCUACAGUAGCCGCCCAUAUAAGCAGCCCUAAAUUAGAAUAUCUACAAUCCUGGAAAACUUAUUGUGGUCAGUGUGCGCAAAAAUACAAAUACCUGCCUUGCCCAAACAUACGUGCAAAAACAGCAUUUUUUAACUGUUGAAAAGCUUCUAGAUCGGUUUAGCGAAAGCUCUGUGACCGAUAGGGGAGAUUAAGAUGCCAAUAUGUGUAUGUGAACAGUAAUACUUUAAUCGUUCACACCUAUAAGUGUCCACAGAAUUUUUGCCAUGAUUGUAGCUAUGGGUGGAAGCAAAACUGUGAGUUCAAAAUAUAUUCAACAGCAUAAAUGUUUUGUACGCGUACGUUGCCCAAUUUGGCAAAGUAAUACUUUAUAUGUUGUUAUGCUGGGUUUUUUCCAGCUUGACAGUAAACAAGCUGUUUGUUUUGUUUGAUAACCUGUUAGAAAUAAGAAAAAUACAUGAGUCCCAGGCAGCUGUGCUUGGAUCUUAACCCUUUAAAGUAGUUGCAUUGCUCCCCAAUGCACCCUACUUUAUUAGUCUACUCUGUCUAAUGCCAGACAAUUUUACUCGUCAAGUGGAAAAGUGCUGGCGCUCAUGCAAUAGGUUAAACACCCAGGUCACUAACCUGGUGCUCUAGAAUUUUGAAACGAACCAAUGAAAAACUGCCGAUCAUAUUUCGCCGGUAGCUGUACGACAUUAGCGUCGAAUGACAGCAGACUGUCAUCUCGUGGGCGUGGGGGAGCGGGAUGCAGUCUGCGAGCAGACUAGAAAUUCUAUGCUUGCUUGUUAUUAUUAUUCUAAAUUCUCCCUAUCACAACUUAACGCAAUCUGGUCGGUAUCGCAAUCAAAGCUACCAAAGAACAAAGCUAUCAAAAGGCAUCAGCAUGUUGUGACAAAAUUUCCUUAUGCUUAUGCAUAUUUAAAAAUAGGUGCAUCAGUGCAUGCCAACUCACUAUCCAGUUUUCAAUGCCAUAUACCCAGUAGCUACAUGUGUUUUGCCAGAAAGAUAUUAAUAAGAGGCUGGUAAUUCUUUUAGGCUUAGCAGAUCACGCAGAGUGGUGGAAAACUUAUUUGGAAUUUUAGCAAAUCGAUGGAGACUUUUGCUCAGACCGAUACCGCUUAACCCAGAUUUUAUUAGUGAUCUAACAUUUGCCAUGUUGACAUUACAUAAUUUUCUGCGGCAAGGAAAUUCUAGAGAAAUUUAUUGUCCAAAAGGUCUAGCUGAUGAGAUGAGAUAUUACUAGAGAUCUUAUACCUGGAACAUGGAGACCAGCCAAACCGGACUCCCUGAAUUCCCUCAAUGUUCCAGCAACUGGUCACAAUGCAAGUAAAAAUGCUAAAGAAAUCCGGGAAAUAUUGAAAGAUUACUUCACCCAUGAAGGUUGUGUACCAUGGCAAUGGGAAAGGGUAUUAAAUUUACCAAGAGAAGAAUAAUCACUGCCUUUCUUGGUAAUUGUUUAGGUUGAGUGAACUGAAAUUACUAAGUAAACUAAUUGUACAAUAUCGCCAAAUAUUGGGUAUUACAUUAGUGUAUUUUGCCAAAAAGUUUUGAAAAUGAGUGUGCUGACAUUGCAUAUUACAAAACUGGCCAAUAAAAUUGAAUGCAUGAAGCUUUGAAUGGUUUAUAUAAAUUUUAAACCCAACAUAACUUUAGGAAUAUAAUUGGACAUUUUUACAAUGUAAUUAACAAAAUCUAUAUGACAU
rnacentral:lncRNA from 1 species